AUUUUGAGUUGAAUGGCAGAGAACUGCAAAAACACAGCAGCAGCUGUACAACUUGGUAGGAAAUAAGCAACUGCCAAUCAGGGACUACAAUAAUUGGUAACUUAAAGAAAAGGAGAGAGAGAGAGAGAGAGAGAGAGAGAGAGAGAGAGAGAGAGAGACUAAGGGUAAGAAACCAUAUCUUUUUCCUUCUUCCGCCCAGCUCUGUUCCUUCUAAUUCUUUGUGAAUAAGAUACUGACUUGGGAGGGUUAUGACUAAAAUGUCCAACGCAGUAUAAUAAAAGCUCCUCCUACAUUAAAUUUACCCAAUAUUUUUAACGCAAUAAAAGGCCACCCCUAAAUUUGAUCCAUGUCUGAUAUUUUAAAGGCACAGGCUUCGUUUAUUGCAAUUUGGGAUUUCAAGAUCAUGCAGCAUCUCUCCAGAUUUCUACAGGCUCUCUCUCUCUCUCUCUUACACACACACACACACACACACACACAUAUGGGUUGCAUGUAGAUAUUCCAUGAGCAGAGUUUCAUUCACAGGACGUUGUGUUGGAAGGUGAGGUGGGGAAGUAGCUAAUCUGCAGUGUUCCAGCACAUGAAAUGUUCAGAUUUACCAGGAAGUCUCAUGAUUUUAAACAAGCGCAGAUGGAAAUGCCAGCAAAUUGCAAUAGUUACCAGUAAACUUCAUAGGGAACUAAGCGCCUUCAGAAAAUUGAAAUCAGUGUGGCCUUAUCAGAAUGCAUUCAUCGUGGAUACAGAUGUGAAAAGCAUAUACUUCCAAAUCACAUUUCAAAAUCCAAAAGUUUCUGCUGCCAUCCACCACCUUAAAAAGUUGCAAAAUCUGAACUCACGUGCUAACAAAGAGUAGUAUGACCCACAUUAAGGAUGUGUCAAAGAGGAAGCAUGAAGUGUUCACUCUACUUAACACCCAAACAAGUUGGAUAUUAACAGAUUGGUCAGGGUUAAGGAAUAGAAAUAAAAGUCAUGUAUGUAGAGCAAUAACAGGAAUCAGUUCACUGCUAAUCACUUGCCAAAUUACAGUAAUUUUAAGACUACAUGGCAGAGGUAAGAUUCAAGGAGGAUAUGUAUAAAGCAUCUAAUGUUAAUUGUUAAAUAGUGAAAUCUGCAAUUGCAUCAUAAAAAUUGCUACUUUCUAUUCCUUUAAUUACAGACCAGCACCAUGAUCAUAGAACCUAUCUAUCAGAGUAUUCCAAGCUGCACACUUUUUGAAGGGAUCUGUGUGGUUUUUUCCAUUCCAUGUGCUAGUUGCAGGUUUUUGCAUGGCGUUGCUGUUCCUCUGCAUAGCAUUAGGGAGACAAGAAGACUUGCUGGGGAAUACACUGAUGCUUCCUCCCAGGUUUAUGGCAUGUUCUUUGGUCUGGCUAAAAUCUGCUGCCGCUGACUGGCAGAGGCUGAAUGGGAGAUGGAAGGAAGCAGCCCAACUUCAUUUGCUAAUACUAUCAGGGACAGCUUAGAGCAGGGCUGGGAAACCUAUUACAGCCUAAGGGCCACAUUCCCACAUGAAGAACAGUCUGGGGAACCACAUGCCAGUGAUGAUGGCCAGAGCAAUGGUUGGGACUCUUACCUUUGCACAGGAGGCUAAAUUUCAACCAUCCAAAGGCUAAGAGGUUCUACAUACUCCCCAUUUCUCCAUUCCGGCAAGCAAGAGACAUUGUCACAGCUCAAGGACAUAUCCCAGCCAGGAGAAAGAACUUGAGGAGCAUGUGCAGCAGGGUUGGUGAUGGGUGUAGCCUAGACAAGGGUGUGGCCUAGGCAGAGUCCCGAGGGCUGAGCAGAGAAGCCUCCAAGCAUUAGGUUUCCUGCCCCUUGCUUGGAGGAACCUUCUACCUCCUUUUCCAUCACUUCACUGUCAUGCAUUUUAAGACAGCACAUGUGUGCAAAUCUGGCCCAAACUGUAAGAAUAAACAGGCUCCAGGAACAUCUGAGGGACAAAAUUAAGACAACAAGAUUUGUUACAGAGUCACCUGUUUGCGAGUUCAGACCCAGAAACCUCCCCCCUAAAUAAAUUCACACUUGACUCAAAAUUUUGGUUUCGGUUUUUGGCAGAAUUUAGACCACAACUUUACUGAUUACAGAAAGUAACUGGUUGCAUAGGCUCUGGUUUGACCCAGGGUUCCAGCA